GCUGGCUGGCUCAGUUGGUAGAGCAUGGGACUCUUGAUCUCAGGGUCAUGAGUUCAAGCCCCGUGUUGAGUG
rnacentral:tRNA from 1 species